CAGUCGCCACGGUAACACGAAGGGGGCUAGCGUUGCUCGGAAUUACUGGGCGUAAAGGGAGCGUAGGCGGAUGUUUAAGUCAGGGGUGAAAGCCCAGGGCUCAACCUUGGAACUGCCUUUGAUACUGGACAUCUUGAGUGUGGGAGAGGUAAGCGGAACUCCGAGUGUAGAGGUGAAAUUCGUAGAUAUUCGGAAGAACAUCAGUGGCGAAGGCGGCUCACUGGACGACUGUUGACGCUGAGGUGCGAAAGCGUGGGGAGCAAACAGGAUUAGAUACCCCCGUAGUCCCUGUCUCUUAUAC
rnacentral:rRNA from 1 species